GAUGAACGCUAGCGGCAGGCUUAACACAUGCAAGUCGAGGGGCAGCGAGUAGAUUGCUUGCAAUCUAUGUCGGCGACCGGCGCACGGGUGCGUAACGCGUAUGCAACCUACCCAUUACAGGGGGAUAACACUGAGAUAUCGGUACUAAUACCCCAUAACAUCCAGGGAGGCAUCUUCUUGGGUUGAAAACUCCGGUGGUAAUGGAUGGGCAUGCGUUGUAUUAGUUAGUUGGUGGGGUAACGGCUCACCAAGACAACGAUACAUAGGGGGACUGAGAGGUUAACCCCCCACAUUGGUACUGAGACACGGACCAAACUCCUACGGGAGGCAGCAGUGAGGAAUAUUGGUCAAUGGACGCAAGUCUGAACCAGCCAUGCCGCGUGCAGGAAGACGGCUCUAUGAGUUGUAAACUGCUUUUGUACGAGGGUAAACGCAGAUACGUGUAUCUGUCUGAAAGUAUCGUACGAAUAAGGAUCGGCUAACUCCGUGCCAGCAGCCGCGGUAAUACGGAGGAUUCAAGCGUUAUCCGGAUUUAUUGGGUUUAAAGGGUGCGUAGGCGGUCAGAUAAGUUAGAGGUGAAAUCCCGAGGCUCAACUUCGGAAUUGCCUCUGAUACUGUUCGGCUAGAGAGUAGUUGCGGUAGGCGGAAUGUAUGGUGUAGCGGUGAAAUGCUUAGAGAUCAUACAGAACACCGAUUGCGAAGGCAGCUUACCAAGCUACUUCUGACGUUGAGGCACGAAAGCGUGGGGAGCAAACAGGAUUAGAUACCCUGGUAGUCCACGCAGUAAACGAUGAUAACUCGUUGUCGGCGAUACAAUGUCGGUGACUAAGCGAAAGCGAUAAGUUAUCCACCUGGGGAGUACGUUCCCAAGAAUGAAACUCAAAGGAAUUGACGGGGGCCCGCACAAGCGGAGGAACAUGUGGUUUAAUUCGAUGAUACGCGAGGAACCUUACCCGGGCUUGAAAGUUAGUGACAGAUCUGGAAACAGGUCUUCCCUUCGGGGCACGAAACUAGGUGCUGCAUGGUUGUCGUCAGCUCGUGCCGUGAGGUGUCGGGUUAAGUCCCAUAACGAGCGCAACCCCUACCGUCAGUUGCCAGCAGGUCAAGCUGGGCACUCUGGCGGGACUGCCGGUGUAAGCCGAGAGGAAGGUGGGGAUGACGUCAAAUCAGCACGGCCCUUACGUCCGGGGCUACACACGUGUUACAAUGGCAGGUACAGAGGGCAGCUACCCAGCGAUGGGAUGCGAAUCUCGAAAGCCUGUCUCAGUUCGGAUUGGAGGCUGAAACCCACCUCCAUGAAGUUGGAUUCGCUAGUAAUCGCGCAUCAGCCAUGGCGCGGUGA
rnacentral:rRNA from 1 species